CCCUGAUCACUCGGGUAGCGUCCUGGGCUGCCAUAUGGGGGAAUCCGGUGCGAAGCCGGAGCUGACGCGCAGCGGUAUGGGACGGCGGAGCCGUCUCCGAGCCCGAAUGCCCAUACGGCGACGCACCAC
rnacentral:ncRNA from 2 species